rnacentral:rRNA from 1 species
UACGAAGGGGGCUAGCGUUGCUCGGAAUUACUGGGCGUAAAGGGCGCGUAGGCGGAUGUCUAAGUUGGGGGUGAAAUCCCGGGGCUCAACCUCGGAACCGCCUUCAAUACUGGAUAUCUUGAGUUCGGGAGAGGUGAGUGGAACUGCGAGUGUAGAGGUGAAAUUCGUAGAUAUUCGCAAGAACACCAGUGGCGAAGGCGGCUCACUGGCCCGAUACUGACGCUGAGGCACGAAAGCGUGGGGAGCAAACAGG